rnacentral:rRNA from 14 species
CACCGCGGUUAUACGAGAAGCCCAAGUUGACAGCCACCGGCGUAAAGCGUGGUUAAGGUAACACAGACAUUAAAGCCGAACGCAAACUACACUGUUAUACGCCUUCGAAAAUAGAAGCUCGAUUACGAAAGUAGCUUUAUACAUCUGACUCCACGAAAGCCAGGACA